UACGGAGGGUGCAAGCGUUAUCCGGAUUCACUGGGCUUAAAGGGUGCGUAGGCGGGCAGGUAAGUCAGUGGUGAAAUCUUUGGGCUUAACCCGAAAACUGCCAUUGAUACUAUCUGUCUUGAAUAUUGUGGAGGUGAGCGGAAUAUGUCAUGUAGCGGUGAAAUGCUUAGAUAUGACAUAGAACACCCAUUGCGAAGGCAGCUCACUACGCAUAUAUUGACGCUGAUGCACGAAAGCGUGGGGAUCAAACAGG
rnacentral:rRNA from 1 species